UGAGACACACUGUAUACGACCGACGCAGACGACGACUAUGUACACCUACCACUAUGUACCCGUAGGAAUGUCAAAUAAAAAUUAUUGGCUUUUUCGAUGCAUCCGGAGGGUCGUUCGGUACAGUGUAUAAAGGCUCGCCGGACCGCUUUUGACGUUAAAUGGCUCGUAUAUUAUUAUUUUAUAGGCCGAGCCCGCGCAAUUAAUAUAAUAUUAG